UUUAUACAGUACUGUUCACAUAGGAAUUUUAGUAUAUAAUUCCUAACAGGAUGAAACUUACAUACUGAAAACCAAUAUCAAUAGUGGCUAGGGUUACAAUGUUGGCUGGAAUGAAAAAUCUCUUAAAGAGUUAUGUGACUAUGUCUCUACAAAGUCUAAGUAGUUCAAAAGUCUAAGUAGUUCAAAAUACUGCAUGGACCGAUAUGAACAUUUCAAUUAUACAUCAACUUUACGGUUUCGCUUCGGAAAUAUUCAUGGAAAGGUUUUUUACAUUUUUAUAUGUGCAAGAUCAUGUCUAUGCAGAGCAGGAUGCAGUAUUGCAGUGGAGCCUUGAAUGCCAUGGAAUGGACUAGAAGAUGAUAAAUUCUCUUCUGAGUAAAGUUGAAAUGAUACAAAUGAAAAAGAAGAUGCCAUUGACAAACAUGUAAUGGGCGACGACAGAUCCCAUUGCAAUUGAUGGAAGCCGCAAUGUUGUCUUUUUCUAUAUAUGUAAACAAUGUGACGGAUAAUAAGCUACUCAGCUGUCAGGGUUGGAUUCACACUGGAAAUUAUAUAUUGUAUGCAGCAAAAUCUAAGAAU
rnacentral:lncRNA from 1 species